rnacentral:rRNA from 1 species
UACAGAGGUCUCAAGCGUUGUUCGGAUUCAUUGGGCGUAAAGGGUGCGUAGGCGGCUUGGUAAGUCGGGUGUGAAAGCCCCGGGCUCAGCCUGGGAAGGGCACUCGAAACUGCCGAGCUGGAGUGCCGGAGGGGAGAGUGGAAUUCCUGGUGUAGCGGUGAAAUGCGUAGAUAUCGGGAGGAACACCAGUGGCGAAGGCGACUACCUGGCCUGUUUCUUGACGCUGAGGCGCGAAAGCUAGGGGAGCAAACGGG